GGCAGCCUGUGGAGACAGCAAGGGGAGCAGAGUUUGAUGCCGGCUGGUGGGCACCCAGCCAUCUGGCAGGGUCCACGAAGGACCAGUCACCUGUUACCAGGGCAGGAGCCCCAGACUCAACCUCUUCAAGGAUCCCUGGGCUCACAGGACAAAACAGAGCCUGUCUCUGUGUUGGGAUGCUUAUUACAGAAUAGGGAGGCUCAGGAGUGGGUGAGGAGGCACCAGGUGUGCCUGCCACAUCCAAGCCCUUCAUCCCAGUACCUGGCAGCACAAAGACAUGCCAGGUCACAGCACCCCAGGAGUCAGCACCAGGAGCUGGCAGCAUCUGGCAGACAGCCUAAGACACAUUCAGCCACAAGACACAGAUGGCACUGUGCUCCGUGAACAGAGGAGACGCCCCUGCAGACCCCAGCCAUCCAGAGGGCCGGACUCAAGCCUCUGCUGAGCAGCCUCAGGUGGUAACUCAGACUUCCCUCUGCUGCACAGCACAGAUGCAGCCUGGCACCCCGCUCGCACCCUGCACCUCGUGCCUUGGGAAGGAAGAGACCUGGGCACCAAGAGACUCAGCUGCUGCAAAGCUCCAGCCCAAAGAUGGAACUGAGUGCUUGCCAACCAGCAAAGCCACAUGACUCAGGCAGGCGAUGGACAGACGGGGAGGGAGUGCUGGCUGGUGCAGCGGGAGGGCUGUGCCAUCAGGUGCGCACACGAUAAGAGUCAAGAGUUUAAGCAACUUGCCAGAGGGCACAUUGCCAGGAUGGGAACCGGCUUCUCUGAUGCUGGAAUCCAAGCAAUGUUGCCCCCACGCAUCACCACCACCGUCUCCUCCUGCGGGCAGGCGGCUCCUCUUCCGGAGGCCAUCACUGUGCUUCCUUCCUCCAGCCGUGACUCCGAGGGGCUGGGCUCCCAUCCACGUGGAACCAGGGCCUCUGUUAACUAAUUUGGCUGCACUCGCACAGCUAAUGCAAGGCGGGUCCACUGUGUAAGCCCACGAGAGGACCUAACGGGACCUUUAGGAACUUUCUGGCUAAACCAGCUGAGGCUACUUGUGCUGGGUGAUCAGUGGCAUUGCCAUGUUUACUGAUAACACACGCUCCAGCCACACCGGCCAGCUCAUAAAAGGUGUUGUAAAUCUGUGGCUUAGAUUGGCCUCAACUAUUAGCCCAGCUGUUUAAAUGGUUACAAUGUGGAAGCGAUCCAGGUCAAGAACCCAAGCAUAUAUACUCCCAGCACUAGAAGAGUCUACAAAGCACCUAUAAACUCUCAGCACUCACUCUUUAGAGGCUAAGGCAGGAGGAUCACAAAUUCAGACUCAACAAGACUUUAUCUCAAGAUUAAAAAAGAAAAAUAGGGCUGGGGAUAUAGUUCAGCGUGAAAGCCCUGCCUUCAAUCUUUGUAUCGCUCCCUCUCUCACACACACAGGCCUUGAAGUGAGCAGCUGAGCUGGGCAGCCAGGAGGCAGUGACAGAUGUGGCAGGCCCUGUUCCUCCAGCUGUAGAAGUGGCAGCUCAGACACAGCCCCACCAUCAGCCCUGUGUGAGGCUGCGGUGGUGUCCAACAGUCCAGUGUUCACAGGAGCCCCACACUGAAGGGUUGUUGUUAAGUCUGCUUCCCAGCAGAGGAUCCGAAGCCAGAUCCAGAAGAAGCAGGCCCAGAGGCACAGAGGCUGUGAGAGGCCACGGAGCUGGGAGCACCUCUGCAGACUGGAGGCUGGCACAACCAAGGGAGGUCAAGGCUGAGGGUCAGAAGAUCAGAACGAGCCUGCAUUUUCCAAGCAGUGCCCAGCAAGGGACCGGGGACACAGGUCCCAGCACAGGCAGGAGGAGGAACUUGGAGGAACCCAUCUUGACUAUAAAGGAAGCUGCAUCUGUGUCUAGUUUUAAAAGCCUCAGUGGCUUCCUGUGGUCACCAAAGCUACCCAGGGCAGGCCCACUGCCUGUCCCUGCCUCAGCUCCAGCUACACAGACUUCUUUGGUCUCAAACUGCCACCGGGCUUUGCACUUGCUGCUCCCUCUGCCUGGAAUGCUUCUCCGUGCACUCUGCACAUUAAGUCCUUAUCCUUACACUCAGCUCAGGUGUCCCUGCAUCAGAGCAGCCGUAGAGUUGGUGGCUUUAAUCUAUGUUU